rnacentral:rRNA from 1 species
AUUGAACGCUGGCGGCAUGCUUUACACAUGCAAGUCGAACGGUAACAGGCCGCAAGGUGCUGACGAGUGGCGAACGGGUGAGUAAUGCAUCGGAACGUGCCCAGUCGUGGGGGAUAACUACUCGAAAGAGCAGCUAAUACCGCAUACGAUCUAUGGAUGAAAGCGGGGGACCGUAAGGCCUCGCGCGAUUGGAGCGGCCGAUGUCAGAUUAGGUAGUUGGUGGGGUAAAGGCUCACCAAGCCAACGAUCUGUAGCUGGUCUGAGAGGGCGACCAGCCACACUGGGAAUGAGACACGGCCCAGACUCCUACGGGAGGCAGCAGUGGGGAAUUUUGGACAAUGGGGGCAACCCUGAUCCAGCAAUGCCGCGUGCAGGAAGAAGGCCUUCGGGUUGUAAACUGCUUUUGUACGGAACGAAACGGUCUGGGUUAAUACCCUGGGCUAAUGACGGUACCGUAAGAAUAAGCACCGGCUAACUACGUGCCAGCCGCCGCAGUAAAAC